GCCUGGGUGGCUCAGUCGGUUGAGCGUCCGACUUCGGCUCAGGUCAUGAUCUCACAGUCUGUGGGUUCGAGCCCCGCGUCAGGCU
rfam:Felis catus isolate Cinnamon breed Abyssinian chromosome E3, whole genome shotgun sequence.